rnacentral:rRNA from 1 species
AUUGAACGCUGGCGGCAGGCCUAACACAUGCAAGUCGAAUGGUAACAGGAAACAGCUUGCUGUUUCGCUGACGAGUGGCGGACGGGUGAGUAAUGUCUGGGAAACUGCCUGAUGGAGGGGGAUAACUACUGGAAACGGUAGCUAAUACCGCAUAACGUCGCAAGACCAAAGAGGGGGACCUUCGGGCCUCUUGCCAUCAGAUGUGCCCAGAUGGGAUUAGCUAGUAGGUGGGGUAACGGCUCACCUAGGCGACGAUCCCUAGCUGGUCUGAGAGGAUGACCAGCCACCCUGGAACUGAGACACGGUACAGACUCCUACGGGAGGCAGCAGUGGGGAAUAUUGCACAAUGGGCGCAAGCCUGAUGCAGCCAUGCCGCGUGUAUAAAGAAGGCCUUCGGGUUGUAAAGUACUUUCAGCGGGGAGGAAGGGAGUAAAGUUAAUACCUUUGCUCAUUGACGUGACCCGCAGAAGAAGCACCGGCUAACUCCGU